UAGCAUUGGAGCUAGACUUGCUCUCAGCAGUGGAAUGCUGUAGAAGUAAUGUCAUCUAAGUCCAGGCCUCAAGAGACUUUAUACUCUCCUGUACUCGUUCUUGGAGUCCUACUACCGUGCAAGCAAGUUCAGACUGGCCUGCUGGAAGAGAGAGUGCAUUGGCCUCAGUCAUCCCAGCCAAAGCCAUCAUAGUCAUCCCAACCAAGCCAGCUGACCAGCUGACCAUGCCCACCUGAGAGCAGCCAAGCCCACCCCAGCCCAGGGGACCAAGCAGCUGAGGAAUAUAGACAUAAUGGCAGGAGAUACAGCAACCAUACUGGAUCAUGAGGUAAUCUUGAAGAUGAAACCCGUGGAGAAAAACAGAAGCAGCCUGAGACUCUGAUGAUCAUGUAACUACUAUUAAGCCUAUGGCUGCCAAAUUACAGGCUUUUUGUGUGUGAGAGAAAAAUUGUGUCUUUUAAAAUAA